AUUGAACGCUGGCGGCAUGCCUUACACAUGCCAGUCGAACGGCAGCAUGAUCUAGCUUGCUAGAUUGAUGGCGAGUGGCGGACGGGUGAGUCAUACAUCGGAACGUGCCCUGUAGUGGGGGAUAACUAGUCGAAAGAUUAGCUAAUACCGCAUACGACCUGAGGGUGAAAGUGGGGGACCGCAAGGCCUCAUGCUAUAGGAGCGGCCGAUGUCUGAUUAGCUAGUUGGUGAGGUAAAGGCUCACCAAGGCGACGAUCAGUAGCUGGUCUGAGAGGACGAUCAGCCACACGGGGGCUGAGACACGGCCCAGACUCCUACGGGAGGCAGCAGUGGGGAAUUUUGGGCAAUGGGCGAAAGCCUGAUCCAGCAAUGCCCGUGUGUGAAGAAGGCCUUCGGGUUGUAAAGCACUUUUGUCCGGAAAGAAAUGGCUCUGGUUAAUACCUGGGGUCGAUGACGGUACCGGAAGAAUAAGGACCGGCUAACUACGUG
rnacentral:rRNA from 1 species